CCUACGGGUGGCAGCAGUGGGGAAUAUUGGGCAAUGGAGGCAACUCUGACCCAGCAACGCCGCGUGAAUGAUGAAGGUUUUCGGAUUGUAAAGUUCUGUGAUGGGGGAUGAACACAAUGACGGUACCCCAAUAGCACGCCACGGCAAACUACGUGCCAGAUGCCGCGGUAAUACGUAGGUGGCACGCGUAUUCCGGAGUGACUGGGCGUAAGGGGUGCGUAGGUGGUUUAGUAAGUUGGCGGGGUAAUUCCGGGGCUCAACCUCGGCGCGACCGCCAAAACUAUUAGACUAGAGUGCAGGAGGGGCAAGUGGAAUGCCUAGUGUAGCGGUGAAUGCGUAGAUAUAAGGAGGAACAUCAGGGGCGAAGGCGACUUACUGGACUGUAACUGACACUGAGGCACGAAAGCAUGGGGAGCAAACAGGAUUAGAUACCCCUGUAGGC
rnacentral:rRNA from 1 species